AGUGCUGUGUAUGCAGCCAUAUAGUGAAUGCCUUCAUUUGCACCCUGAACUCUGAAUAGUCACUUUUAAAACAUCCAUCUGUCAUCCAUCUAGUGAGGUCAGGAGAGUGGCUGCUUAACUUCUGGGGGUUGCAGAAAAGGAAGAAGAAUCAGCAGAGAGCAUUUGUGGCCAGCAAAGCUUAAAAUAUUUCCUAACCGAUCCUUUGCAAAAAAAGUUCACCCACUCCUGUAGUCAGCAGCUCCCCUACUGUGCGCAGUCAGUGUGCCAUCUCAGACUAGCAAAGGUGAGUAAAACCAUCCCUGCCCCUAAUCAAUUUACAAUCUGCAUCCUCAGGGCAAGAGCCUAGUAAGCAAAAGGCAAAAUAAGAUGGCGCCAGAUAAGGGCUUCAAAGGAAGAGAGACCAGGUUUGGUGGGGAAAUAGGGGGUGGCUUCUUAGCAGGUUUUCUUUAGAUGAACCUUGAAGAUAAAAAGAGAUUUUGAUGAAUAAGGGUGGGUGAGAUGCAGAGGGGGUCAGCGCUGUGUCCUGGAACCAGUGAGUGAUUCCAUUUCAGAAGCACCCGGGGAGGCUAAAGGGUAGAUUCUAAGGCCAGAAAGAGAGGAGAAGGUCGUAGGCUGGAGACCAUGAUGAGGAGUGUAUACAGAGGGAGAGAGGAGAGAUUCCUGCACUUAGAGGCCAAAAGGACAACAAUUUGCACUUUUACUUUGGUGUCGGAAAGAACCGUAGUCUCAUAUGGUUACACGGAAGUGUUUUAUGAUAAUCAGUGAAAAAUGAGGAAAAUAGUCUCUCUUAGGCUGAGCACCUAGGAAAUGAGUGGCUCUUGGCUGUAAGUCAAUGAACAGCAUUAAUAUAUGCAGUUACCAAGUCAUCAUUAACACAUAAAGCACUGCAGGGUUUCAAUCGAUUCAUCAGAAUUCUUGAAAGUCCUAUUUUAAGGCAGUUCAAACAGAGGCGAGGCAGCUGAACCUGGUGAGGCUGCCAGGAACAGCGAGUUCUGCCUCUGAAUUUGCUCCUGACUCAGUGCCUGACCUUGGGCAAGCACUCAACGUCUCACUAUCUCAGUUUCCUCAGCCAUAAAAUGGGGAUAACAGACCUUAGCCACCUCAUAGGAGUGUCAUAAAUGUCUGCAAAAACCUUUCAAGUUGUCCAGAGAGGAAAGACAGGCCAAAAUAGUUCAGUAUGCUGUCUUACUGGGAGGACAACAGCUUAAGCCACAAAGCCCUGAGUUUGACCCUAGAACUCUGUGGCUACUGGUGACUCAUCUUGAAAAUUAUCAGAUUGAAUCUUCUCUACCGGUUUGAUAACAACUGAUGAGUGGAAAAAGAACGCCAAUCAAAUGUGCAUGCUUAAUAAGCAGCCUCCUUAUUCCCCUCUGCAGAUUUGUGCUUGGAUCAUCUACACUUCCCUGAAUGUUGAAGAAGAUAUGCUAUCCAUGCAAUCCUUGUCGACUGCUUGAUUAAAAAGUGGAUAAACUGUCUUCAGGCCCUUGGAGUAUGGUGUCUGUGUGAAGAAGGGAAUGAGGCAGAAGUAGCAGUCAGUGGUGGCUGAAGUAGGAGAAAGUGCUUGCUAAUGAAAUCUUGAUUUUUCUGUGGCUUUUCUGUGCAAUUGGGUGGCUAAGUAGGAAAGCCAUUGGAGCUUCACUGUAUCAAUUCUGCCUUUCUUGUUUUUUGGAACUCCAAUUCACCAAGGCUCCCUGCCACCCUAUCCAUCUAUAACUUUUCAUCACUUUUUCCUCAAAGUAAGAAGUGUGUCCCAGAAAAUGUGCCUUUGUGACUCAGCAACAUUUCAAAUCCAUCUGAGCCUUCCCAGCGUUCCAAAAGAAAUACUGAUUUGAAUUCAGCUGCUUAAAAAACCAGUCUCUAAGCAGACAGCUUGAAACUUCCUUACAGCAAUAGUUUAGGCUUUGGAGGGGAAAUUGGUUUGUUUUUAAUUGUUUUAAUUUUUCAUUCAAUUCAUUUGCCGCCUGAUUAUAUAUGAUCUUUUGAGCCCAAUACUCUGCUAAAUUAACCUUGACUUUCUUUCUCUCUUUCUCUCUCUCUCCUUCUCUCUUUCUUCCUUUCUUUCUUUCUUUUUGACAGAGCCUUGCUCUGUCGCCCAGGCUGGAAUGCAGUGGCACAAUCUCAGCUCACUGUAAACUCCGCCUCCAAAGUUCAAGCAAUUCUCCUGCCUCAGCCUCCUGUGUAGCUGGGAUUACACACGCCAGCCACCAUGCCUGGCUAAUUUUUGUAUUUUUAGUAAAGAUGGAGUUUCACCCUCUUGGCCAAGCUGGUCUCGAACUCCUGACCUCAACCUUGGCCUCUCAAAGUGCUGGGAUUACAAGCAUGAGCCACCAUGCCUGGCCUUACCUUGAUUUUUUUUUUUUGAGACAGAGUCUCACUCUGUUGCUCAGGCUGGAGUGUAGUGGCUCGAUCUUGGCUCACUGCAACCUCCAUCUCCCGGGUUCAAGAGAUUCUCCUGCCUCAGCCUCCCAAGUAGCUGGGACUACAGGUGUGGGCCACCACGCCUAGCUAAUUUUUUAUAUGUUUACUAGAGACAGGGUUUCACCAUGUUGGGCAGGCUGGUCUUGAACUCCUGACCUCAGGUGAUUCACCUGCCUCGGCCUCCCAAAAUGCUGGGAUUACAGGUGUGAGCCACCACACCCGGCCCCUACCUUUGAUUUUUAAGUCAAGAGGGAACAAGUCGAAAUUUCUAUUCAGGUAAACUGUAUACCUUUGGACACUGAAUCACUUUUAGAACCCCAGUAAAAAUCAUGUAUGAAUGACCCACAAUUUCACUCCAACAGGAAGGUGUGUAUAUGUGCACAAAAACAUUAGAUUGUUCACACCGGUGCUAUUCAUAAUAGUCAAAAACUGGAAACAACUCAAACAUCCAUCAACUGUAGAAUGGAUAAAUAAAUCAUGAUAUAUUCAUACCAUGGAACAUAACAGUGACAAUAAAUGAACCACUGCUACACACAACAGAUAUGAAUUUCACAAACAGAAUGCUGAGCAACAGAAGCCAAACACAGAAGGAUACACAUUUAUAAAUCCAUUUGUAUGAAGUUCAUAAACAGACAAAAUUAGUCAGUGGAGAUUAUUCUCAUAGAAGUCUGAAGGGUAGUUGUCUUUAGGGAGGGGGAUAUAGUGACUGAGGUGGGUAUAAGGGGUUUCUGGGGUUUGGUGAUGGUACACCAGCAUAUUCACUCUGAAAACUCAUUGAGCUGUGCAAUAAUGAUUUUUCAAACUUUUAUAUGUGUAUGAUAAUGCUUCAAUAAAGCUUUGCUUAAAAACACGCAUAGUCAUUGCUAUGGUGUGAAUGUUUGUGUGCCCCCGUUCACCAAAUUCAUAGGUUGAAAUCCUAACCCCCAAGGUGAUGAUAUUAGGAGU
rnacentral:lncRNA from 10 species